AAGAACUGAAAACAUAUUUGAACCAAGCCGUGGGUAAGUAAAGUCUUUUGCCUUAAAGACUUUAUAGAGCCGAGUGGAUCUUAUUUUCCAUCCCCUAACAUCCUUCAAGAAUCUGUUUUCAGUUCUUAAGUCUUUGUCUUAAGACUUUCUCCAACCGUCACAUUCAAAGAACUAAAAACAGAUUAUUCUGAGUCAAGCCAUGGGUAAGUAAAGUCUUUUGCGUUAAAGACUAUUAAAGAGCCGAGUGGAUCUUAUUUGCCAUCCCCUAACAUCCUUCAAGAAUCUGUUUUCAGUUCUUAAGUUUUUGUCUUAAGACUUUAUCAAACCGUCACAUACAAAGAACUGAAAACAUAUUUGAACCAAGCCGUGGGUAAGUAAAGUCUUUUUUUCUCAAAGACUAUAGAGCCGAGUGAAUCUUAUUUGCCAUCCCCUAAUACAAUGCACUACCAAACCCAUAUUAUCCCAGUUAACAAUCUUGGCUAGGGGAUGGUCUUCUUAUAGUGGCAGCAACGGGACAAUGUCCCCAAAUAAGAAUCUGGCAGAACACUAUUAGAUCAGUGUCUGCCUAUGAUCUUUUUUAGGUUUCAAGUGAAACAAAAAACAAAAAAAAAAUCAAAACAAAACCAAAAAAAAAACAAAGCUUGAUCAAAAUCCCCAAAACAUGAAAGAAAGAAAGAAUCUCAAAACGAAAACCAAAAUAAAGCUUCAAGACAAAACGGGAAACUCUUGCACAGACGGAGAAUACAACUUAAACUCUAGCCAACGAAAACAACUUAAAAGUAAAUCGCAAAAGUAUUUGCACGAAACUUAGAAACCCUAAAAUAGACUAAGACGACUAACGAGAAAAAGAAACUCUGAGCAAGAUCAAUAUGUCAAAUUAACCAAUUAGACAAACUUUGAAGCCCUAGAAUCCGAAUCGCAAAUCAAAAAUUUCAUGGGCAACUUACAAAUUCACGAUUUACAGCGAUCGAAACACUUACAUAUCUGAGAACGUAGAGGGCUCUCUGUUUCUCGAAGAGAUGAUCGAUAAAACUAUUCGAAGAAACAUAAGGAGACCAAAAAAAAAGGUUUCGUUUGAGAACUCGCGUCUCCUAAUGGUUAUAUAGAGUCGACUUCGAUCGAGCACAUUCUUGGGGAAAAAAAGGAAAGCACGAAGUGCUUUGAUAAACACGUGUUUCUCCUAACGGUUAUAUUUUAAUUUUGAGUCGGUGGAUUUUGUAAUCGAACCGGUCCUGGAUUCUUACAAUACCAACAUAAACCGAACCGGUUCUUUUUCCACUCUGGCUAAAUAUUAACCG
rnacentral:lncRNA from 1 species